AUGUACCCUGGGUGGCAAAAUCGCCCCCAUGAAGAACCAUUGGGGGCAAAAUCACCAGCACUGAGGACCACUGCUCUGGCCCACGAGACAGCUUUUCCAGCUAAAUAUACUUCUCAUUGUGUUGCUCCAAAUCAGACUGCCUUACCGGUUUUCCGCACUGUCCUCCUACGCGGGAAUCACCCAGGAGGUUUGUUUGUUUUGUUUUUCUGUUUGUUUUCUUCAUGCUGUUGUCCAGGUCCACUCCUACAAUUCUGCUUUAAUGGGUCAUGAGUAGAGCCCAGGGAAUUGGUGCAUUUUAAUAGGGUUACAGAUGAAUCCAAAG
rnacentral:lncRNA from 1 species